rnacentral:rRNA from 1 species
AUAUAAUUUGAAUUAGAAUUUUAUUUUUAAGUAAGAAAGCUUAAAUUGAUUUAAAAGACGAGAAGACCCUAUAGAGUUUUAUAUUUAUUAUUAUAUGAAUAAUUAAGUAUUUUAAAAGUUUCUAUUAUAAUAAGUAUUUUGUUGGGGUGACAGAAAAAUUAAAUUAACUUUUUUUAUUUAUUAACAUUAAUUUAUGAGUGUUUGAUCCAUUAAUAAUGAUUAAAAGAUUAAAUUACCUUAGGGAUAACAG